GCGUCAGUGGUUUAGUGGUAAAAUCCAUCGUUGCCAAUCCUGGUUCUCCAGGACAACAGGAUCAACCUCGAUGGGCCCCGCGUUCGAUUCGCGGCUGACGCA